CCUAGAAGAGCUCGAACGGCCGCAAUUGAAGCAAUUUGCGGAAUCGCCUUUGUGGUUGAUGCCAAUGAUUGAAGUUUCAUCGUGUGAGAGUAUCCCCAGGCGUCUAGCUUACCGUUUUCCUGGGGACCUGCAUUCCGGGCUCAGUGACUGAUAGUCAACCUUACCUGGUUCACGGCUGGCCUCGGGAAGGUGGGAUUAAGCGUGGAUAGGUCAAGUUAUCUUGAAUGACAGUUGAGUUAAAUGUGUAGACCCGCUUUCUCCACGGGUGGUCUCCAGGAUGGGAAAGCGUCUGAUCAGUCUGUUGGGGGUGUAGUGCCCCUCUAAAGCUUUAUAGUGUCGGGGUCUCUAGAGCAGGUGCCCUGGAGAUGCGCCUGGAUUUAAGGGUACAGCUCCUGAGGGGGGCAGCAGGCGUGAAGCCUCAAUAAUCGCGCGAGAGCGUGAGGGGAUUAGUUAGAGUGGUGUCGGCUGACGACAUCUUUGCCCUCCCGUAAUUAGGCAGGCGAAUAAGGGGAGGCCAAGGCUGUUGUCAGCGGAAGCGGUUAGGCUAGCUCUUGGAGUGGUCGGGGGGAUUAUGGGGCUUAAGGCAUCGGUAGCCGGUUUAGUAGGUGGUCUGUUAUAAUCCGUGCGCUUUACGGUUGCCCUCUAGAAGAUACCGCGGGAGUAGGCGGCUGGAGAGGCGCACGGUACUCCCAGCGUAGGGGUAAACUGCUGUGCUACGCGGGAGCGCAACAGGGGGGAGGGCGCUAUUCCAGUACGGGCUCGUCGUUUAGGGAGAAAAACUGGGGGAUCGAGCCUGAUUAGCUGUCUCGGGUAGUUCCAGCAUGUAUCCGGUGCUAGCUAGAUGAUUCAUUCGCAAGUCGUGAAUGAAGCUGUCCGCACAAGACAGGCGAUCAUUCAACUCGCAUGGGGAGAUCGGUGAUCAAGAUCGCAAUCUGAAUCCAACAGGCUCAGGAGCAC
rnacentral:rRNA from 1 species